GUGCAAUCCCAUCUUGUUCAAUCAUGCGAAACGAUCCUCAUCCUGUCUCUUGAUCAGAUCUUGAUCCCCUGCGCCAUCAGAUCCUUGGCGGCAAGAAAGCCAUCCAGUUUACUUUGCAGGGCUUCCCAACCUUACCAGAGGGCGCCCCAGCUGGCAAUUCCGGUUCGCUUGCUGUCCAUAAAACCGCCCAGUCUAGCUAUCGCCAUGUAAGCCCACUGCAAGCUACCUGCUUUCUCUUUGCGCUUGCGUUUUCCCUUGUCCAGAUAGCCCAGUAGCUGACAUUCAUCCGGGGUCAGCACCGUUUCUGCGGACUGGCUUUCUACGUGUUCCGCUUCCUUUAGCAGCCCUUGCGCCCUGAAUUUUGUUAAAAUUCGCGUUAAAUUUUUGUUAAAUCAGCUCAUUUUUUAACCAAUAGGCCGAAAUCGGCAAAAUCCCUUAUAAAUCAAAAGAAUAGACCGAGAUAGGGUUGAGUGUUGUUCCAGUUUGGAACAAGAGUCCACUAUUAAAGAACGUGGACUCCAACGUCAAAGGGCGAAAAACCGUCUAUCAGGGCGAUGGCCCACUACGUGAACCAUCACCCUAAUCAAGUUUUUUGGGGUCGAGGUGCCGUAAAGCACUAAAUCGGAACCCUAAAGGGAGCCCCCGAUUUAGAGCUUGACGGGGAAAGCCGGCGAACGUGGCGAGAAAGGAAGGGAAGAAAGCGAAAGGAGCGGGCGCUAGGGCGCUGGCAAGUGUAGCGGUCACGCUGCGCGUAACCACCACACCCGCCGCGCUUAAUGCGCCGCUACAGGGCGCGUCCAUUCGCCAUUCAGGCUGCGCAACUGUUGG
rnacentral:rRNA from 1 species